GAUGAACGCUGGCGGCGUGCCUAAUACAUGCAAGUCGAGCGAACAGACGAGGAGCUUGCUCCUCUGACGUUAGCGGCGGACGGGUGAGUAACACGUGGAUAACCUACCUAUAAGACUGGGAUAACAUCGGGAAACCGGAGCUAAUACCGGAUAAUAUAUUGAACCGCAUGGUUCAAUAGUGAAAGACGGUUUUGCUGUCACUUAUAGAUUGAUCCGCGCCGCAUUAGCUAGUUGGUAAGGUAACGGCUUACCAAGGCGACGAUGCGUAGCCGACCUGUGAGGGUGAUCGGCCACACUGGAACUGAGACACGGUCCAGACUCCUACGGGAGGCAGCAGUAGGGAAUCUUCCGCAAUGGGCGAAAGCCUGACGGAGCAACGCCGCGUGAGUGAUGAAGGUCUUCGGAUCGUAAAACUCUGUUAUUAGGGAAGAACAAAUGUGUAAGUAACUAUGCACGUCUUGACGGUACCUAAUCAGAAAGCCACGGCUAACUACGUG
rnacentral:rRNA from 1 species